AGGAGGCAAGGAGUUCAGAAAGGAAGUUUUUAGCAGAAGUUACUAUUGUCAGCUGCACCCUCUGUAACACCAGUUUUCCCUUCAGUCUCUUCAGCCAAGUCAUGGUUUAACCCCGUGGUGCAUCACAUAGAUCAUUGGGAAGCAGACUGAAAACUUCUAUUUAAAAAAAUCCCCAAACAACCAACACGAGAAAAUACAAAAUAUUGAUCAUAAAUUAAUGAGAAAAUAUAAUUCAUCUGAUUUUCCUCUGAUAGGGUUCUCUUCUGUGGACUUCUUCAAGAAAGCAUUCAACCACUUGUCUGUGUGCAGCUAACACUGUAAGCCUUGUUGAAUAAAAAAAGCUGAGUUUUAUAAACACUUCAACUGGUACUGCUGCCAGAAGAGAAAAGGUAGUUCUACCGCCUAUUCCCAGUUCAAGCUGUUGUUUCCUCUGUGUUGACAAAUGUUUGUUGCUGCUGACAUUGGAGAACUGGUUUGGAUUAAUACUAACUUGUCUAUUUCUUUGCCUCUCAGUCAAGUGCCACUGAGAAAGGACUACUCAGAGUUUUGAUAAACAUCCUGUCUCAAGCAAAUAAUGUACUGAAACCAUGCUGGGAAAUGUGCUGCAGUUUCAUCAAAGCAAUUUUCUCUGCAUCUAAGCCCAGAUGAACUAGAGUUUUGAAAAAUACUUCUGGCAGGU